CCUAACACAUGCAAGUCGAACGGUAACAGGGUGCUUGCACCGCUGACGAGUGGCGAACGGGUGAGUAAUGCGUCGGAACGUGCCGAGUAGUGGGGGAUAACGCAGCGAAAGUUGUGCUAAUACCGCAUACGUACUGAGGUAGAAAGUGGGGGACCUUCGGGCCUCACGCUAUUCGAGCGGCCGACGUCUGAUUAGCUAGUAGGUGAGGUAAAGGCUCACCUAGGCGACGAUCAGUAGCGGGUCUGAGAGGAUGAUCCGCCACACUGGGACUGAGACACGGCCCAGACUCCUACGGGAGGCAGCAGUGGGGAAUUUUGGACAAUGGGCGAAAGCCUGAUCCAGCCAUGCCGCGUGUCUGAAGAAGGCCUUCGGGUUGUAAAGGACUUUUGUCAGGGAGGAAAUCCCUAGCGUUAAUACCGCUGGGGGAUGACAGUACCUGAAGAAUAAGCACCGGCUAUUCUG
rnacentral:rRNA from 1 species